CCUACGGGAGGCAGCAGUGAGGAAUAUUGGGCAAUGCCGAAAGGGUGACCCAGCAACGCCGCGUGGAGGAUGAAGGUCGUAAGAUUGUAAACUCCUGUUAGAGGGGAAGAAUAACUAAGUUUGGAGCUUAGUAUGACUGUACCCUCAGAGAAAGCCCCGGCUAACUACGUGC
rnacentral:rRNA from 1 species